rnacentral:rRNA from 1 species
GGAAUCUUCGGCAAUGGACGAAAGUCUGACCGAGCAACGUCGCGUGAGUGAAGAAGGUUUUCGGAUCGUAAAACUCUGUUGUUAGAGAAGAACAAGGGUGAGAGUAACUGUUCACCCCUUGACGGUAUCUAACCAGAAAGCCACGGCUAACUACGUGCUAG